rnacentral:miRNA from 1 species
CAAUAAAAAGCCGACUAUUU